rnacentral:hammerhead_ribozyme from 1 species
AUACUGCUGAAGAGUCCCAAACUACGUUGAGGAAACAGCUGUCCAGUAU